CGCCCGAUCUCGUCUGAUCUCGGAAGCUAAGCAGGGUCGGGCCUGGUUAGUAUCUUGGAUGGGAGACCACCUGGGAAUCCCGGGU
rnacentral:rRNA from 1 species